CCCUUCCUCUCGCUUUCUCUAUCUCUCUCUCCCGCUGCUUCCUUGGUUUAGUGUUGCCUGUGUUGUGCCCGAAAGCAGUGUUGUAGAUUUUAUUGCGCUGUGCCCGUAAUCAUUGAGUGACCGACCUGUGCGUGUGUUGCCGCGUCAGGAAGGGAGUGUUGCGUCUCCAGGCACCUCCCGCCUCACUCCUUGCUUCCUCCCGUCUCCCAGAGUCUACACACCUGCACUCUUGAGGCAGAAGUAAGUGUACCUGCUGGUGGACUACAGGCUGAACACAAGCAUUGACAAGCAGUACAGGGCAUUUCAUGAUGGCUUCUGCAGGAGUGUUAAAAGUAGAAGGCCGGAAGUAAUAUUAAAGUUAUACUUGGCGCUGGUCAGACCUCAUCUAGACUACGCUGUGCAGUUCUGGUCCCCACAUUACAGGAAAGAUAUAGGUCUAUUAGAAUCAGUACAGAGGAGAAUGACUAAAAGGAUUCAGGGGAUGAGGAGUAUUCCUUACGAAGCGAGGUUGAAGCGGUUAAAUUUACAUUCUCUAGAGAGACAUAGGUUAAGAGGGGACCUGAUAGAAGUCUUUAAGUGGUAUAGGGGUUAUAACAAGGGAGAUGUAAGCAAAAUUCUUAGGAUCAGCAACCAAGGUAGAACAAGAAAUAACGGGUUCAAGCUUGAAAAAUUUAGGUUUAGGAAGGAGAUAGGAAAAAAUUGGUUCUCAAAUAGAGUGGUAGAUGAGUGGAACGGACUCAGUAAUCAUGUAGUUAGUGCCAGGACACUAGAGAGCUUUAAGAGAAGAUUAGACAAGUUUAUGGAUGGGGAUAACAGAUGGAAAUAGGUAGGAGUGUUUCAUACAGGGACUGCCACGUGUAAGCCUGGUCGCUUCUUGCAGCUUCCCUUAUUUCUUAUGUUCUUAUGUGUGGGACGGUACUGUGCUCAAACUUUUCCUGCCAAUGGAACGAACUUAAGGACUUGGUCACCGGCAAUGAAAAUUAUUUCUGGACCGAGUUGGAAAAGAAUGCUGAAUAUAAGAUUAAGUUAGGUUGAGGUGGGCCUGGGGUGUGUAUGUGUGUGUGUGUGUUUAGGCGUUUUUUUUUUUUUUUUUUUUGGUGUUUGGCAGUGUUUUCAGGUGGCUGUGUGUGUUUUAGGGUCGUUUGUGUGUGUUUUCACUUGUAUAUCAUUCAUUUUAGUUGUUCUCCACUAUUUCAUCCUCUCAUUCAUUUUACUUAUUUUUCCUUAUUAAUGUACGCUCUGCCUCUGUCGCCGCCUCUAAUAUUUAUCCAGUCCUUCCCUGUGUCUAUAUAUCUAGUCCUUUUUUACCUCUAUCACUCUCAUAUCUAAUAUCCAGUCCUUCACUUCCUGCCUUCAGUUCGCACACACUCCUCACCUCUUCUGGUGCCUAUAUUUACCCAGUCCUUCCCUGCACACACCACAGCCAAUAUGAAUUAACACACAAAUGCCAAGAUCCUUCCUUUUAUUAAUCCCUCACUGUGUUUCCAGGGUGAGUACUUCCCAGACCAUCCAGUCACUCGCACGUGUUGGGAAGUCUUUCGCAAGCUCUCGCUGGAACAGAAAAUGUUUUUAAGUUUCUGACGGGGACUCACCAGGUGUACUAGGCAUGAGAGAGAGAGAGAGAGAGAGAGAGAGAGAGAGAGAGAGAGAGAGAGAGAGAGAGAGAGAGAGAGAGAGAGAGAGAGAGAGAGAGAGAGAGAGAGAGAGAGAGAGAGAGAGAGAGAGAGAGAGAGAGAGAGAAUUUUUUAUUUAUUUCCUUUGUUCCUUCCUCUUCUCCUUUAUUUCUUCUUUAUCUUUCUAUCUUUCUCUCUCCUCUGUCUUCUUUCUUUCAUUUCUUCUACUCCUUCCUCUUCUAUUUAUUAUCUUCGUUCUAUGUCCUCUUCCUUCUUUGUCUUCUCUCUCUCCUCUUCCUGCCUUCCAUCACUUAUGAAAAUAUUAAAUACAUAUUUUCAACAUAAUAAUAAUAAUGAUGAUGAUAAUAAUAAUAAUAAUAAAAUAAUACAGAUUAAUUCCUCUCACAAACAGUAACUCUCUCUCUCUCUCUCUCUCUCUCUCUCUCUCUCUCUCUCUCUCUCUCUCUCUCUCUCUCUCUCUCUCUCUCAUGUGACAGGCUGUGGGGAGCGACUGUGGGUUCGUCAACAUACUGUAGGGGACGUACUAUGGAUCUGUGGGUGAGAGAGAGAGAGAGAGAGAGAGAGAGAGAGAGAGAGAGAGAGAGAGAGAGAGAGAGAGAGAGAGAGAGAGAGAGAGAGAGGGGGCACAUUCUUAUUGGUGAAGGGGACAACUUGUUUUUCAUUUAAAAGCAUUUCUGCACCUCAAUUAUAGCCUCUCUCUCUCUCUCUCUCUCUCUCUCUCUCUCUCUCUCUCUCUCUCUCUCUCUCUCUCUCUCUCUCUCUCUCUCUCUCUCUCUCUCAAGUUAGCUUAUCUUAAACUAGACAGGAAAUCCUCACCUUUGGUACACACACACACACACACACACACACACACUCCCUGAAGUUGA